rnacentral:rRNA from 1 species
UAACGGGUGAGUAAUGCGUGACCAACCUGCCCCAUGCUCCAGAAUAGCUCUUGGAAACGGGUGGUAAUGCUGGAUGCUCCAACUUGACGCAUGUCUUGUUGGGAAAGUGUUUAGUGGCAUGGGAUGGGGUCGCGUCCUAUCAGCUUGUAGGCGGGGUAAUGGCCCACCUAGGCUUCGACGGGUAGCCGGCCUGAGAGGGCGGACGGCCACAUUGGGACUGAGAUACGGCCCAGACUCCUACGGGAGGCAGCAGAA